rnacentral:rRNA from 1 species
UCGACGAUGAAUCUUCUAGCUUGCUAGAAGUGGAUUAGUGGCGCACGGGUGAGUAAUGCAUAGGUUAUGUGCCCUUUAGUCUGGGAUAGCCACUGGAAACGGUGAUUAAUACUGGAUACUCCCUACGGGGGAAAGUUUUUCGCUAAAGGAUCAGCCUAUGUCCUAUCAGCUUGUUGGUGAGGUAAUGGCUCACCAAGGCUAUGACGGGUAUCCGGCCUGAGAGGGUGAUCGGACACACUGGAACUGAGACACGGUCCAGACUCCUACGGGAGGCAGCAGUAGGGAAUAUUGCUCAAUGGGGGAAACCCUGAAGCAGCAACGCCGCGUGGAGGAUGAAGGUUUUAGGAUUGUAAACUCCUUUUGUUAGAGAAGAUUAUGACGGUAUCUAACGAAUAAGCACCGGCUAACUCCGUGCCAGCAGCCGCGGUAAUACGGAGGGUGCAAGCGUUACUCGGAAUCACUGGGCGUAAAGAGUGCGUAGGCGGGGUAAUAAGUCAGAUGUGAAAUCCUGUAGCUUAACUACAGAACUGCAUUUGAAACUGUUACUCUGGAGUGUGGGAGAGGUAGGUGGAAUUCUUGGUGUAGGGGUAAAAUCCGUAGAGAUCAAGAGGAAUACUCAUUGCGAAGGCGACCUGCUGGAACAUUACUGACGCUGAUGCACGAAAGCGUGGGGAGCAAACAGGAUUAGAUACCCUGGUAGUCCACGCCCUAAACGAUGGAUGCUAGUUGUUGCCUUGCUUGUCAGGGCAGUAAUGCAGCUAACGCAUUAAGCAUCCCGCCUGGGGAGUACGGUCGCAAGAUUAAAACUCAAAGGAAUAGACGGGGACCCGCACAAGCGGUGGAGCAUGUGGUUUAAUU